rnacentral:rRNA from 1 species
AUUUGUCUGGUUAAUUCCGAUAACGAACGAGACCUUAACCUGCUAACUAGUUCUCAAUACUCUGUAUUCUGCAACUUCUUAGAGGGACUAUGUAAAUCAAUUACAUGGAAGUUUGAGGCAAUAACAGGUCAGUGAUGCCCUUAUGUGUCCUGGGCUGCACGCGUGCUACACUGAUGCAUACAACAAGUGCCUAGCCAGACAUGGUAUGGCAAUCUCGAAUAUGCAUCGUGAUGGGGAUAGAUCUUUGCAAUUAUAGAUCUUGAACGAGGAAUUCCUAGUAAGUGCAAGUCAUCAUCUUGCAUUGACUAUGUCCCUGCCCUUUGUACACACCGCCCGUCGCUCCUACCGAUACCGGGUGAUCCGGUGAACCUUUUGGACUCUGUAAAGGGGAAGAUAAGUAAACCAUAUCACCUAGAGGAAGGAGAAGUCGUAACAAGGUUUCCGUAGGUGAACCUGCRGAAGGAUCA